UAUGGAAUUGCUGGGUCAUAUGGUAACUGUUUAAUUUUUCGAGAAUUAAUGAACUGUCUUCCAAAGUGGCUUGUACCAUUUUACUUUCCCACAAU
rnacentral:pre_miRNA from 1 species